GCAAAGGGGAAGAGAGGCCCUGGAAGCAGCGGAAGAAGUGCCACAGAGCGCAGAUGAAGGGAGACAAGUUGGUGAAGGUGUGGAGCAAGCAGAGGAGGUUGACCAUGGAAUGGUUGGAGAGGAAGAUCAUGGUGCAGAGGAAGGUGGACAUGGGGCCUCAAACAGUGGACAAUCCACCCGCCGCCCUUCCCCAUCAGACUCCAGUUUGGAGAACAUAUAUACAGCACUCCGCUCUAUGGAAGGGCGUUUAUUUUCCUCCAUAAACAGAAUUCAGGACCAGCUCAAUGCGUUGGAGGCUAGAUUCAGGAGACGUGGCCGCCGGC